rnacentral:rRNA from 1 species
GCCACUAUCCUACCAUCGAAAGUUGAUAGGGCAGAAAUUUUGAAUGAACCAUCGCCGGCGCAAGGCCAUGCGAUUCGUUAAGUUAUUAUGAUUCACCAAGGAGCCCCGAAGGGCAUUGGUUUUUUAUCUAAUAAAUACACCCCUUCCUGAAUCCAGGGUUUUAACAUGGAUUUACUCCUGAAUUACCACCGGGAUCCCUGGUGUAAGGGACCAUCAAAUAAACCAUAACCGGUUUAAUGGACCCUUCCCAGUUUCACCGUAUAAAUUGGUUAUACUUAAACCUGGAUGGGUUAAUUUU